rnacentral:misc_RNA from 1 species
AUACCGGGCAGGGCGGUCGCUGGUGCGGUAAGCACCAGAGGAAAGUCCGAGCUGCACAGAGCGGGGUGCCUGGGGUCAACCCAGGGCAGCGGAGACCGGCGCCGCUGACAGUCCAGAUCGGCGCGCUGGAUAACCCAGCGUGAGAGCAACAGAGACGAUGACCGGGCUCGUCCCGGGGUGAAAAGGGCAAUCCUCCCUGCAGCAAUCUCCGAGCGGGCCGCUAUCAGGUUGCUCGCCGAGGCCCGAGGAUGAGAGCAGUCGCGGAGGUGACGAAGCGACCGUCCGUGCAAGACACGGGCGAGAGAGAUGACCGCCUAGAACAGAACUCGGCUUACUCGCUCGGUAUCGCU